rnacentral:rRNA from 1 species
UACAGAGGUCCCAAGCGUUGUUCGGAUUCACUGGGCGUAAAGGGUGCGUAGGUGGUCGGGUAAGUUUAAGGUGAAAGCUCCGGGCUCAACCCGGAAAUGGCCUUGAAUACGAUCCGGCUCGAGGGUUGGAGGGGGGACUGGAAUUCUCGGUGUAGCAGUGAAAUGCGUAGAUAUCGAGAGGAACACCAGUGGCGAAGGCGAGUCCCUGGACAACACCUGACACUGAGGCACGAAAGCUAGGGGAGCAAACGGG